GCUAGUUAGUUUGGCUAGAACUAGUGGUUGAAUUGCACAUACACACGUAGGAGUAUACGAAGCUACGGACGACACACUAAUUCGUUUGGGCUCAGCCCAAAGUGCACACUCACGCACGCAAACCAGGCCUUCACGAAUACACGCUGUCGAUCCCCACCACGCACGCGACACCCCGAGCACCUCCGCGAUGCCGCCGCCGCCGCCGCCACAUACUCUUCCGGCCGCCGCCGGUCAAGUCCAACGCCGCAACUGCUUCGUCUGCAUCUCCUACCUUGGUCUCCUGCCAUUGUUGUGCCCCGGUACCCACGCGCUCAUCCCCGAUGGAAUCCCUAGCUCGCCUCCAGCAACUAUUCCGGCCAUCGCCGGCCGCCUGCUAGCGUGGCUCUGCCACGGACUCCUCCAACGGAUCCUCGCUUCCGCGCCACCCUCCAGCACGUGCGCGCGCACGCCAGCAAAACCUGAGCUGUAGGGCUCGUGCUCGCGGCACGGCUCCUGCGCCUGCGUCCCCGGCUACUCGCCCAGCUGUUCGUCCUCGACGACCUCGACCACCUCCUGCUGCCGCCUAGCCUUAGCCUCCCGCACCGUGGUGCGGUGGUAGGCUGCCUCGACCACGCUACGAGGGUUAUAAUGAUCUACUAGGAAUAGGAUGGUGUUGUGGUGGUGUGAUGUACUGACGGUUGGUGAUGAUUCUGGUGUGGUUUGUGGUGUUCUGCUGGUGCUACUACAUCAUCGACCUCGACGCCGACGAAACGGUGUUGUGAACCCAACCUCAGCGUCAAUGGCCUCUUCUACUUAUACUACACUGUGAGCUACUCCUUCUCCCCUCUCUGUCUACAACAAUGUAUUGAGUUGUUGUACACCUGCUUCUUAUUAAUCCGGUACUCUUAGUAGUGUUGUAUUGGAGCUACCUAUUUGUGUCUAAUUGAUCAUAUACUGUGGUUGCUGUGAUUAUAUCCAAGCUGCUAUGUGUGUGUUUGUCGAAUGCUUCGGUUUAGAUGGAUUCACCAUUCAAGCAUUCGGUUAUGUUUUGUUAAAAAUAGAUAAACUCUACUCUACUUAAUAAAUAAAAUUUACUACUUACAAUGCCUCAAUUUGGAUGACUAUUCAUCCCUGGCAUGCAUGGCUAGCUGUAUUGCUGUUAUUGAUAAAACUGAAUAUAGAUAAUGUUGUUUGUUAAAAAAAAUUCAGUGGUGCUUUUGUUUAAUUCUUAGUGGGUUUAAAUAUGCAAGGAAUAUAUAUUGCUGCUUACAUAGGCAUGAUUUCAUUGGUGGCAUGCUUAUGAGAUGGUGUGCACACUAUUGUAACCUUGCUGCAGAAUCAAGAUGAUCCAUUGAUCAUCUGAAAUUUCUUAUAUGCUUAAGUUGUUUCCAGAUUUAUGGGCAUGACUUGAUGACUUGAUGGCUGACUUUUAUUUAUGGAUCUUGCUGCCCUCACAGAUGGUUUCUCUUUUUCUAAAUAUAAACUGAUAAGAACAGAUCUUAUGCUUGAUCUUGUAGCCUUGCCAAUGAUGCAAAGCUUGUGACACAAAUUUAUAAUAUGAAGAGAUAUAGAGAUGUGGCUUGUGCUUCUCUGUGAUGAGCUUGCAUAGCAUCACUAUGCAGACUGAGAGAAUCUCUCCUUUUCCCCUUCCCCUGACUGUACAAACUAAUAAGAACAUUUGUUGCAUGAUCUACUCUAAUCAACCUGUUGCUGUAGGGUAGCUUGGUCUUCUGGGUAAUCUGAUCAACCUUCUUCUUGUGGCAUGCCUGCACCUCCUCGCUGCUUCAUUUAUUAACUAAGAUCUAGCUGUGAUUUUUGGUUGUUGUUCUUGUGUUGUUCUAGUGGAUGAUGGUGUGUUCUUGCUGAUAUCUGAUGGAUAGAUUGACUACUAAAUGAACUGUUGGUGCAGCGGGUGUGUAGUUGUCCUAGGAAAGCUGUUGGUACGGUGCGGUGCUGUUUAUGUACUGUUGAGCAGUACCUGUGGGUUUGACAGCACAUAGCUGCGUGUGGUGACUGUGCUGCUGUUGUGUGGCCCUUUAUCUAGUGCUAGAGAACAACUUCCCUUUCUUCUCUUCCUAGCACAAGCUACGGUUGAUUGAUCUUUAUCCAUGCUUGACAUUUUUUUGUACUGCCACAUGUUAAUUCUUAUUGGCUGCUAUAUAUGAGCUUGGCGGAUCAAGUAUAUGAUUUAAUUGGGAUUUGCUUAAUUAGUACGUGGCUUAGAUAUAAUUGUCUUAGGAUCAUAUUGAAUUCUCCAUGUCAAGCAUGAUCCAUUUCAACUACAUUUGUGGGCUUCUUAAGAAUUCUAGCUGGAUUAGAGGGAGAUUAAGAUAUCUGCCUAGUUGCCUAAAACUAAAUGGACCUAAAUAGUUGUUGCAUUCUUGUCCCUUGUUUCCUGGGAUAUUAAUGACUGUCUAUGUUAAUGCCUCGUGGAUUCCUUGGAUGGACUAGUGAUCAACCUUCUCCGAUUGCCUCUUGUGGCGUAUCUGAUUCAGAUUUAGUCCCUCUAACCUCAGAUUGGGUUUUAGGAAAAGCUCUUAAUUCCCUAUAGCUAGUCUCCAACAGUAACAUUGCCUCACCAAAGGUGAGGCACAACUUUUAACAUUAACAAACAUUCCUUCUGUUUGUCUUUGUUUUGUCUCUCUUACUGCAGGGAAAGAAUAAGAAUAUUGGGAGAGAUUUAGAAGAUGAAGAUUUCGAUUAGAAUUUCCUCUUUAUUACUUUUGUAAUCUUCUAUUUCUUUUGGAGCUUGUAAAUGAUUUAAUUAUGAAAAUUCAUAAUGUAAUAUAUAUUUUCUUUCUUUA